CCGCUCAGUAACACGUGGGUAACCUGCCCUAUGCUGGGGGAUAACCUCGGGAAACUGAGAAUAAUACCCCAUAGUUCACCAUGCCUGGAACGGUGGGUGGACCAAAGNUCCGGCGGCAUAGGAUGGGCCUGCGGCGUAUCAGGUUGUAGGGGGUGUAAUGUACCCUCUAGCCCUCUACGCGUACGGGUGUUGAGAGACAUCGCCCGGAGAUGGAUUCUGAGACACGAAUCCAGACCCUACGGGGUGCAGCAGGCGCGAAAACUUGGCAAUGCGAGAAAUCGUGACCAGGGAACUCCAAGUGCAUCGGGUAAGACCGAUGCUUUUCUUGACUCUUCAAAGGUCUUGGAAUAAGGGGUGGGUAAGGACGGUGCCAGCCGCCGCGGUAAUACCGGCGCCCCAAGUGGUAGUCGCUUUUAUUGGGCCUAAAACGUCCGUAGCCGGUCUGGUACAUUCGUGGGUAAAUCAACCAGCUCAACUGGUUGAAUUCUGCGAGCACGGCCAGACUUGGGACCGGGAGAGGUGUGGGGUACUCUCAGGGUAGGGGUAAAAUCCUGUCAUCCUGAGAGGACCACCUGUUGCGAAGGCGCCACACUAGAACGGAUCCGACGGUCAGGGACGAAGCCUAGGGGCACGAACCGGAUUAGAUACCCGGGUAGUCCUAGGUGUAAACGCUGUGGACUUGAUGUUGGGGGCGCUCCGAGCGCACUCAGUGUCGAAGCGAAGGUGAUAAGUCCACUGCCUGGGGAGUACGGUCGCAAGGCUGAAACUUAAAGGAAUUGGCGGGGGAGCACCGCAACCUGAGGAUUGUGCGGUUUAAUUGGAUUCAACGCCGGA
rnacentral:rRNA from 1 species